rnacentral:rRNA from 1 species
UACGGGGGGGGGCAAGCGUUGUUCGGAAUUACUGGGCGUAAAGGGCUCGUAGGUGGCCAACUAAGUCAGACGUGAAAUCCCUCGGCUUAACCGGGGAACUGCGUCUGAUACUGGAUGGCUUGAGAUUGGGAGAGGGAUGCGGAAUUCCAGGUGUAGCGGUGAAAUGCGUAGAGAUGUGGAGGAACACCGAUGGCGAAGGCAGCCUCCUGGGCCAGCACUGACGCUCAUGCACGAAAGCGUGGGGAGCAAACAGG